rnacentral:misc_RNA from 1 species
GCAUUAGCCUAAGGACUAAACAGUCAGGGAGACUUAAAUCUGGUCCCAAUUUUGAAAUUUUUUUCAGCGAAAUACUACAUGUAUUAUUUCUUCUUUAAAAUUCAGAAUUUUUUAAACAAUGAAUACAUAGUUUACAACUUUAUUUAAACUCUUCAAAACAUAAUCAAAAUACUGGUACUUCUAUUAGACCUUCAUCUCUUUGUAGAUCUUUUUACACCUUGCUUUAUACCAGUACAAUAAAUUGAAAUAAUUUUUGUUAUUUAUUUUUUUCUCCAUUUUAAAAAUGUACCCAAUUUUUUGUGUGUGUAUAUGUGCAUUAUUUAAUUUUUUUUCAUUAACACCUCUUUUUUUAAUUACAUAUAGCCUUAUUGCAAUAAUUUGAUUGUGGAUAUUUUUGAAAAAAAUAAAUUAUCAAAUU